ensembl:rRNA 5S_rRNA 5S ribosomal RNA
GCUUACGGCCAUACCACCCUGAGAACGCCCGAUCUCGUCUGAUCUCGGAAGCUAAGCAGGGUCGGGCCUGGUUAGUACUUGGAUGGGAGGCCGCCUGGGAAUACCAGGUGCUGUAAGCU